CAAAGAUUAAUCUGGGCGUACAAAAUAUUAUUUCUAGAUGUACUUUUUCCAUUAAAUAUUAAGAAAAUAAUUUUUGUCGAUGCUGACCAGGUGGUUCGUACUGAUAUGAAGGAAUUGUUGGAGGAGCCAUUGGAUGGAGCACCUUAUGGAUACACUCCUUUCUGUGAUAGUCGUACUGAUAUGGAUGGAUUCAGGUAAUUAAU